rnacentral:rRNA from 1 species
CUACGGGUCGCUCCAGUGGGGAAUUUUGCGCAAUGGGGGAAACCCUGACGCAGCAAUACCGCGUGAGUGAAGAAGGCCUUUGGGUCGUAAAGCUCUUUUCUUGGGGAAGAUAGUGACGGUACCCAAGGAAUAAGCACCGGCUAACUCCGUGCCAGCAGCCGCGGUAAUCCGGAGGGUGCAAGCGUUGUUCGGAUUUACUGGGCGUAAAGGGCACGUAGGCGGCACAGCAAGUUAAGGGUGAAAUCCCGGGGCUCAACUCCGGAACUGCUCUUAAAACUGCUGAGCUAGAGAUAGUCAGAGGCGGGUGGAAUUCCAGGUGUAGAGGUGAAAUUCGUAGAUAUCUGGAGGAACACCGGUGGCGAAGGCGGCCCGCUGGGGCUAUUCUGACGCUAAGGUGCGAAAGCGUGGGGAGCAAACGGGAUUAGAUACCCUUGUAGUC